rnacentral:pre_miRNA from 1 species
AGUGGGAUUGCUGGGUCAAAUGGUGGUUCCAUUCCAAGUUUUCUAAGGUAUCUCUACAGUGCUUUCCAAAGUGGUUGUGCCAUUUUGCAAUCUCACCAGCAAU